AGAAAGCAACUUUAAAAUCAGAAACGCGACUACUUGUUCUUCUGCCGAAGUACCAAACCCUCUCUACUUUUAUCUCAUUUUUGGGGUACGUAUCUUGGAUUGUCUUGCGUCCCUAUCCAGUCGAUGGAAGCUAUACCGUUGCUAAACAGCACUCCGCAUUCUUUAUCCUUCCGCGGAUCUCCGUUUUUGCGGAAGCCGGUAGUUGUAUUCGAUUCGAGGAGGAAAAGGCCGAGCCGAAUUGUUGUGCGAAGCGCUUUGAGUGAUUGCGUCCUUGAGGAGGAGUUUAAGUUCAAGCCGUCCUUCGAUGAGUAUUUGAAGGCCUUGGAAUCUGUCAAGCUCGACAGGGGUAGUAAUGAUAAUGAUAAUGAUAAUCGUUAUAAUGUUAGUCAUAGGAAAAGGAAAAACAUAGCGAAAAAAGUUGUUCAGGAAGAACGGAAGGCAAGAGACGUGACGACAGCAGUUAAAAAAACGUUGGAAAAGAAAGGUUUCAGUGAGAAACAUGAAUUGGUUCAAGAAAAUUCAAGAAAUGAAGGGUUUGGCGAGGGAAUUGAGUUGGAAAAGGUUAAGAGGCACAUCAAAGCUUCCAAGGUUAACAGCCGAAGUGAAAUUAUUGAUGUGGAAAGAGCAGCAUUCAAACCACUAUAUACUGAAGAUGGUCUGAUGGGCAAGCCAAGAAUUUCUAGGGUAGACAUGGAAGAAAGAAUCCAGAAGCUUGCAAAGUGUUUGAAUGGUGCAGAUGUCGACAUGCCUGAAUGGAAGUUCACUAAAAUGAUGCGGAGUGCUCAAAUAAGAUACUCAGAUUAUUCUAUUAUGAGGGUCGUGCAGAUAUUGGGUAAGUUGGGAAACUGGAGGCGGGUCCUCCAAGUCAUUGAAUGGAUGCAGUCCCGGGAGCGCUACAAAUCUCUCAAGCCACGACAUAUUUACACUGCUGCACUGGAUGCUCUUGGAAAAGCAAGAAGACCAGUAGAGGCUCUCAAUCUGUUUCGGAGAAUGCAGGAGCAAUUGGCUUCCUACCCUGACAUGGUGGCUUAUCAUUGUAUUGCUGUUACUCUUGGACAAGCUGGUCGUAUGAAAGAACUAUUUGAUGUGAUUGAUACCAUGAGAUCUCCUCCCAAAAAGAAGUUCAAAACUGAUUUAAUUGGGAAGUGGGAUCCACGUUUGGAACCGGAUGGUAUAGUGUACAAUGCUGUCCUUAAUGCUUGUGUUCAGUGCAAGAAAUGGGAAGGAGCUUUCUGGGUAUUGCAGCAGCUAAGCGAACAGGGUCAACAACCUUCAUGCACCACUUACGGCCUAGUUAUGGAGGUGAUGUUGGCAUGUGGGAAGUAUAACUUAGUUCACGAUUUCUUCCGGAAAGUUCAGAAAUCACAUCCACCAAAUGCUUUAAUCUAUAGAGUUCUUGUAAAUACACUUUGGAAGGAAGGCAAAACUGACGAGGCCAUAAUGGCGAUUGAACAAAUGGAGAGAAGAGGAAUAGUUGGCAAUGCUGCACUAUACUAUGACCUUGCUCGCUGCCUUUGUAGCGCAGGAAGAUGCCAUGAUGCACUUGAACAAAUUCAGAAGAUAUGCAAAGUCGCAAGUAAACCGCUUGUAGUGACUUACACUGGUUUGAUUCAAGCCUGUCUGGACUCAGGCGAUAUUAAAAGUGGGGCGUAUAUCUUUAAUCACAUGAAGACGUUCUGCUCACCUAAUUUAGUAACAUAUAACAUCAUGCUGAAGGCUUUCAUCAAUCACAAGAUGUUUGAAGAAGCGAAGCAGCUAUUUAUGACACUAUUGGAAAAUGCCGGUUUUAUAGGUCAAAAUGAAGAUUAUAAACUGAGGGUUAUUCCUGAUAUUUACACAUUCAACACAAUGUUGGAUGUGUGUGCUGAAGAGCAAAAGUGGGAUGAUCUUGAAUUUGUAUAUGAACGAAUGCUACACUAUGGUCACCACUUCAAUGCAAAACGCCAUCUUCGGCUAUUGCUGGAUGCCCAGCGCGCCGGAAAGGAAGCGCUACUGGAAAUGACAUGGAAACAUUUGAUCAAAACCGAGCGGGAUCCUCCUCUGCUGCUUACCAGAGAAAUGGUCGCCGUGAAGCUACAGAACGGUGACUAUGCUGCUGCUCUCUCUUACAUCAUUAGCUUUGCAUCUCCUGAUACUCAGUUAUUUUCCCGAAAGUCUUGGUCAAAUUUUUUCUUUGCGAAUGCUAGCCGGUUUGAUGCGCGUACACUUCACUCAUUGGUUCAUGAAACUAGCAUUCUACUUUCAGAAAAUAGGAACCUUUUACUCGAACACCUGCUAGGAUCUUGUAAGGAAUUUUUAAGGACCCAAAGGUGUACAUAUCUUGAGCUCAGUUAAUUAAUGGAGCACAUUAAUGGAGCACGUAAAAUAUGAAAAUAUAGCAAUUUUUGUAUCCGAUGCUCGCGUUCAGGUGCCACCGGUGUAAGCUCUGUUUUACUGUUAAUAUUACAUGAUCUUCCACUCGGAUAAAACUAUGCAGAAUUACCCAUUUUUGUGUAGAUUAACGUGCAAUUUGUUCUAUAAGACAGAUAUUAUACCCCAGAUUAUACAGGAAAAAAGGGCCGAAAUAAAAUUGCCGGUAGCCUCGGCAGAAUUGCUGUGCCGCGCCGACUUUACUACAGCAGUCUUCUUGUUCAUAUGCAGCCUGAAUUUGAGCUUGCAGGUCACGAAUACUACUGUUUCCUCGAUGGCUACUCAGGCUACCAUCAAACCGGAGGACUGUGAGAAGACUACAUUCACUUACAGAAGGAUGUUGUUCGGGCUUUGCAAUUCUCCGGCCACCUUCCAGCGAUACAUAUACCAUAUCUUCAGCGAUCUCCUGGACUCCUGUAUAGAAGUAUUUAUGGAUGACUUCUCGGUAUAUGGCAAGACAUUUUUCAGAUGCCUGAACAACCGGGAAAAAGUACUUCUCCGCUGCAUUGAGACUGAUCUCGUGUUGAAUUGGGAGAAGUGUCAUCUCACGGUAAAUGAAGGAAUUGUCUUAGGCCAUAAAAUCUUAUCUUCCGGUAUUGAGGCGGAUAGAUCAAAAGUUAAUGUGAUCGAAAAGAUGCCAGCACCCUCGAAUGAGAAAGGAGUGCGAAGUUUCCUUUGACACGCGGGGUUCUACUGCCGUUUCAUCAAGGGCUUCAGUCAAAUCAAGCAACCACUUACAUCACUGUUGUGCAAAGAUUCUCAGUUUCACUAGUCAAGCGAGUGUGAGGAGGCUUUCCGAAUACUGAAGGAGAAGUUGACCUCCGCUCCUAUUAUUUCAGCACCAGUGUGGAGUGAACCAUUUGAGCUGAUGACGGAUGCAAGCGACUAUGCCGUCGGCGCUGUACUAGGACAAAGGGUGGAAUCAAAAUUGAACGUCAUUUAUUAUGCAAGCAAAUCACUGGAUUCCGCUCAAAAGAAUUACACUAUAACCGAGAAGGAGCUGCUAGCUAUUGUCUUCGCUUUCGAGAAAUUUCGACAAUAUCUUAUCGGGAGCAAGACCAUUGUUCACACUGAGCAUGCAGCUAUCAAGUAUUUGAUGGAGAAGAAGGAGACAAAGGCCCGCUUGAUCAGAUGGGUACUGUUGCUCCAGGAAUUUAACAUAGAAAUCAGCGACAAGAGGGGGAAAGAGAAUCAUGUGGCAGAUCACUUCAGUAGUUAAAACAAGAAGAGGACAUAUCUCCAAGAAUCAACGAACAAUUACCAGAUGAGAAGCUUUUCCUGGUGCAAGCGAAUGAGCCAUGGUUUGCAGACCUGGCCAAUUUCUUAACUACAUGCAGUUUUCAGUCAGCGCAUACCAUACAAAAGGAAAAGAAGAGAUUGCUCAGUUUGGUAAAGGACUAUUUUUGGGAUGAACCUUUUUUGUUCAACAUCGGCGCAGAUGGGAUAAUCCGUCUCUGUGUAGAGGAAUCUGAGAUCCCACUGAUCUCGAAUGAAUGUCAUGGGUCCAUGUAGGAGGGCAUUUCGUUGGCCUGCGCACAGCGGCCAAAGUUUUGCAGUUGGGUUUCUUUUGGCCUACCCUACAGAAAGAUGUUGAUGCCUUUGCCAAAUCUUGCGACAAGUGUCAAAGAUUGGGAUCUAUGAGAUGCCCCAAACUGGAGUCUUGUUUGUGGACAUAUUUGAUGUAUGGGGAAUAGACUUUAUGGGUUCCUUUCCGUCUUCCAAUGGGAAAUUAUACAUUCUGGUGGCGGUGGAUUACAUAAGCAAAUGGGUUGAAGCGCAAGCGCUCACCACUAAUGAUGCUCGAUCAGUGAUCCGUUUCCUAAAAUAUACCAUAUUCUCAAGGUUUGGGUCUCCAGAACUAUAAUAAGCGAUGAAGGCACCCACUUUAUGAAUAAGGCGCUGAAAUCUUGCCUUCAACAAUAUGGUGUCCGCCAGCAUCUAACUACCCCUAUCAUCCGUAAGCGAGCGGUCAGGUGGAAGCUACCGCUUGCCUCUCGUGACUUAGUCUUUUUCAGUAGAUAUUCUGGGCGCUUGCGAGCGGAAGAGACUAUCGCUUGUGGCGCGUGCUUUAGCUUUUCUGGCACCAAACUAUUGCUAAAAAAUGGCAAAAAUCGUUAAUAAUCUCAACAACGAAAUCUGGAUCAUGUCAAGCGAUACAUAUCAAUAAUGUAUGCCAUUAACGGGUUAUUAUGAU